GUCGAACGGCAGCACGGGUGCUUGCACCUGGUGGCGAGUGGCGAACGGGUGAGUAAUAUAUCGGAACGUACCUUAUCGUGGGGGAUAACGCAGCGAAAGCUGCGCUAAUACCGCAUACGCCCUGAGGGGGAAAGCGGGGGACCGUAAGGCCUCGCGCGAUUAGAGCGGCCGAUAUCUGAUUAGCUUGUUGGUGGGGUAAAAGCCCACCAAGGCGACGAUCAGUAGCUGGUCUGAGAGGACGAUCAGCCACACUGGGACUGAGACACGGCCCAGACUCCUACGGGAGGCAGCAGUGGGGAAUUUUGGACAAUGGGGGCAACCCUGAUCCAGCAAUGCCGCGUGAGUGAAGAAGGCCUUCGGGUUGUAAAGCUCUUUUGUCAGGGAAGAAACAGCAGCUCUAACACAGUCUGCGAAUGACGGUACCUGAAGAAUAAGCACCGGCUAACUACGUGCCAGCAGCCGCGGUAAUACGUAGGGUGCAAGCGUUAAUCGGAAUUACUGGGCGUAAAGCGUGCGCAGGCGGUUAUACAAGACAGGCGUGAAAUCCCCGGGCUUAACCUGGGAAUGGCGUCUGUGACUGUAUGACUAGAGUGUGUCAGAGGGGGGUAGAAUUCCACGUGUAGCAGUGAAAUGCGUAGAUAUGUGGAGGAAUACCAAUGGCGAAGGCAGCCCCCUGGGAUAACACUGACGCUCAUGCACGAAAGCGUGGGGAGCAAACAGG
rnacentral:rRNA from 1 species